GCUUAACACAUGCAAGUCGAGCGGUAACAGAGAGAAGCUUGCAACUCUGCUGACGAGCGGCGGACGGGUGAGUAACGCUUAGGAAUCUACCUAGUAGUGGGGGAUAACUUGCCGAAAGGUAAGCUAAUACCGCAUACGACCUACGGGAGAAAGGGGGCACUAGUUGCUCUCGCUAUUAGAUGAGCCUAAGUCGGAUUAGCUAGUUGGUGGGGUAAGGGCCUACCAAGGCGACGAUCUGUAGCUGGUCUGAGAGGAUGAUCAGCCACACCGGGACUGAGACACGGCCCGGACUCCUACGGGAGGCAGCAGUGGGGAAUAUUGGACAAUGGGGGGAACCCUGAUCCAGCCAUGCCGCGUGUGUGAAGAAGGCCUUUUGGUUGUAAAGCACUUUAAGCAGUGAAGAAGACUCCAUGGUUAAUACCCAUGGACGAUGACAUUAGCUGCAGAAUAAGCACCGGCUAACUCUGUGCCAGCAGCCGCGGUAAUACAGAGGGUGCGAGCGUUAAUCGGAAUUACUGGGCGUAAAGCGAGCGUAGGUGGCUUGAUAAGUCAGAUGUGAAAGCCCCGGGCUUAACCUGGGAACGGCAUCUGAUACUGUUAGGCUAGAGUAGGUGAGAGGAAGGUAGAAUUCCAGGUGUAGCGGUGAAAUGCGUAGAGAUCUGGAGGAAUACCGAUGGCGAAGGCAGCCUUCUGGCAUCAUACUGACACUGAGGUUCGAAAGCGUGGGUAGCAAACAGGAUUAGAUACCCUGGUAGUCCACGCCGUAAACGAUGUCUACUAGUCGUUGGGGGACUUGAUUCCUUAGUGACGCAGCUAACGCAAUAAGUAGACCGCCUGGGGAGUACGGCCGCAAGGUUAAAACUCAAAUGAAUUGACGGGGGCCCGCACAAGCGGUGGAGCAUGUGGUUUAAUUCGAUGCAACGCGAAGAACCUUACCUGGUCUUGACAUAUCUAGAAUCCUGCAGAGAUGCGGGAGUGCCUUCGGGAAUUAGAAUACAGGUGCUGCAUGGCUGUCGUCAGCUCGUGUCGUGAGAUGUUGGGUUAAGUCCCGCA
rnacentral:rRNA from 1 species